rnacentral:rRNA from 1 species
GACGAACGCUGGCGGCGUGCCUAAUACAUGCGAGUAGGACGCAGUUGCGAACGGGUGAGUAACGCGUAGGUAACUACCUAUUAGAGGGGGAUAACUAUUGGAAACGAUAGCUAAUCCCGCAUACUAGUAGAUGGACCUGCGUUGUAUUAGCUAGUAGGUCGGGUAAUGGCCUAACUAGGCAAAGUUACAUAGCCGACCGGAGAGGGUGAUCGGCCACACUUGGACUGGGACACGGGCCAGAAUCCUCCGGGAGGGAGCAGUAGGGAAACUUCGGCAAUUGGGGGAACCCUGGCCGAGCAACGCCGCGUGAGUGAAGAAGGUUUUCGGAUCGGAAAACUCUGUUGUUAAGGAAGCGGUACUUAACCAGAAAGGGACGGCUAACUACGUGCCAGCAGCCGCGGUAAUUC